UACAGAGGUCUCAAGCGUUUGUUCGGAUUCAUUGGGCGUAAAGGGUGCGUAGGUGGCGCCGUAAGUCGGGUGUGAAAUUUCGGAGCUUAACUCCGAAACUGCAUUCGAUACUGCGGUGCUUGAGGACUGGAGAGGAGACUGGAAUUCAUGGUGUAGCAGUGAAAUGCGUAGAGAUCAUGAGGAAGACCAGUGGCGAAGGCGGGUCUCUGGACAGUUCCUGACACUGGAGGCACGAAGGCCAGGGGAGCAAACGGG
rnacentral:rRNA from 1 species